rnacentral:rRNA from 1 species
AACGUAGGAGACAAACGUUAUCCGGAGUUACUGGGCGUAAAGGGCGUGUAGGUGGUUUGUAAGUCUGGCGUGAAAUUUUUCGGCUUAACCGGGAAAGGUCGUCGGAUACUGCAGAACUAGAGGACGGUAGAGGCGUGUGGAAUUCCGGGUGUAGUGGUGAAAUGCGUAGAGAUCGGAAAGAACACCAACGGCGAAAGCACUCUGCUGGGCCGACACUGACACUGAGAGACGAAAGCUAGGGGAGCGAAUGGG